rnacentral:rRNA from 1 species
UACGGAGGAUGCAAGCGUUAUCCGGAUUUACUGGGCGUAAAGCGCGUGUAGGUGGUACUGUAAGUAGGGCGUGAAAGCUCCUGGCUCAACUGGGAGAGGCCGUUCUAAACUACAGAACUAGAGGAUGGUAGAGGGAGGUGGAAUUCCAGGUGUAGCGGUGGAAUGCGCAGAUAUCUGGAGGAACACCGGUGGCGAAGGCGGCCUCCUGGACCAUUCCUGACACUCAGACGCGAAAGCUAGGGUAGCAAACGGG